rnacentral:rRNA from 1 species
CAAGACAACUUUACGGAGUUGACGAUUGACGGAGCGAAGCGACGUCAAAGCGUUCAUUAAAGUCGAGUUGGCUUAGGGAUACGUUCGUUGGGUAGGGGAGCGUUCUGUAAGCCUGUGAAGGUGUGUCGUGAGGCAUGCUGGAGGUAUCAGAAGUGCGAAUGCUGACAUAAGUAACGAUAAAGCGGGUGAAAAGCCCGCUCGCCGGAAGACCAAGGGUUCCUGUCCAACGUUAAUCGGGGCAGGGUGAGUCGACCCCUAAGGCGAGGCCGAAAGGCGUAGUCGAUGGGAAACGGGUUAAUAUUCCCGUACUUGGUGUUACUGCGAAGGGGGGACGGAGAAGGCUAUGUUGGCCGGGCGACGGUUGUCCCGGUUUAAGCGUGUAGGUGUGUGUUCCAGGUAAAUCCGGUUCACUUUAACACUGAGGCGUGACGACGAGGCACUACGGUGCUGAAGCAACAAAUGCCCUGCUUCCAGGAAAAGCCUCUAAGCAUCAGGUAACACGAAAUCGUACCCCAAACCGACACAGGUGGUCAGGUAGAGAAUACCAAGGCGCUUGAGAGAACUCGGGUGAAGGAACUAGGCAAAAUGGUGCCGUAACUUCGGGAGAAGGCACGCUGACACGUAGGUGAAGUGAUUUACUCAUGGAGCUGAAGUCAGUCGAAGAUACCAGCUGGCUGCAACUGUUUAUUAAAAACACAGCACUGUGCAAACACGAAAGUGGACGUAUACGGUGUGACGCCUGCCCGGUGCCGGAAGGUUAAUUGAUGGGGUCAGCGCAAGCGAAGCUCCUGAUCGAAGCCCCGGUAAACGGCGGCCGUAACUAUAACGGUCCUAAGGUAGCGAAAUUCCUUGUCGGGUAAGUUCCGACCUGCACGAAUGGCGUAAUGAUGGCCAGGCUGUCUCCACCCGAGACUCAGUGAAAUUGAACUCGCUGUGAAGAUGCAGUGUACCCGCGGCAAGACGGAAAGACCCCGUGAACCUUUACUAUAGCUUGACACUGAACAUUGAGCCUUGAUGUGUAGGAUAGGUGGGAGGCUUUGAAGUGUGGACGCCAGUCUGCAUGGAGCCGACCUUGAAAUACCACCCUUUAAUGUUUGAUGUUCUAACGUGGACCCGUAAUCCGGGUUGCGGACAGUGUCUGGUGGGUAGUUUGACUGGGGCGGUCUCCUCCUAAAGAGUAACGGAGGAGCACGAAGGUUGGCUAAUCCUGGUCGGACAUCAGGAGGUUAGUGCAAUGGCAUAAGCCAGCUUGACUGCGAGCGUGACGGCGCGAGCAGGUGCGAAAGCAGGUCAUAGUGAUCCGGUGGUUCUGAAUGGAAGGGCCAUCGCUCAACGGAUAAAAGGUACUCCGGGGAUAACAGGCUGAUACCGCCCAAGAGUUCAUAUCGACGGCGGUGUUUGGCACCUCGAUGUCGGCUCAUCACAUCCUGGGGCUGAAGUAGGUCCCAAGGGUAUGGCUGUUCGCCAUUUAAAGUGGUACGCGAGCUGGGUUUAGAACGUCGUGAGACAGUUCGGUCCCUAUCUGCCGUGGGCGCUGGAGAACUGAGGGGGGCUGCUCCUAGUACGAGAGGACCGGAGUGGACGCAUCACUGGUGUUCGGGUUGUCAUGCCAAUGGCACUGCCCGGUAGCUAAAUGCGGAAGAGAUAAGUGCUGAAAGCAUCUAAGCACGAAACUUGCCCCGAGAUGAGUUCUCCCUGAGACUUAGAGUCUCCUGAAGGAACGUUGAAGACGACGACGUUGAUAGG